UCUGAUCGGUGAUGACAACCUUAUUUACUUUGUGGACGGUUGGAUGAAGCAUGCGGAUAUGGGACUGAGAUCAGAU